UAUUUUUUUAAAUAUUUGCGAGUAUCCGUGGGUAUCCGCGGGUUUUAAAAUAUCCACGGAUAUUUUUUAAGCGGGUAUCCAUGCGGGUAGCGGGUGAUUUUUUUUGCCGGGUCGGGUUGCAGGUAGGCACUAUCCGUGUCCGACCCGACUCGUUGCCAUCCUUAUGCCCACCCAAUGGAGCGACUAUGCCAUCCUCUUGUACGUUCUAUAAACUCCCGAGUUCCCUCCCGCUAACGUGUUGUGAAAUUCUACUAAUAGUUUAGGUAUCCACUUCGAUUGGCAAAGAGGACUAGCUUCCCUUUAUAAUGUAAUCUCUCAUUCUCCAUUGUGUAAGCUGAAUGAGAAUUUGGAUAAGCUUUUAAUUCCUCCGUAAUUUUUUUCAGACUAACAUCCCUCUCCACCUCUUCCAUUAAAUCUUGAAACUCUGGUCAGAUUGGUCUUUAUAUCAUUUGCAGCACUUUUUCCCCUCCUCCAAUUCCUCCCCUUCCCUUGAGAGCCCAUCCGCCACCUUAUGGAUGCCCCCG
rnacentral:lncRNA from 1 species